GACUUAAGCAUAUCAAUAAGCGGAGGAAAAGAAACCAACAGGGAUUGCCUUAGUAACGGCGAGUGAAGCGGCAAUAGCUCAAAUUUGAAAUCUGGCCUUCUUUGAGGGUCCGAGUUGUAAUUUGCAGAGGGCGCUUUGGCGUCGGCAGCGGUCUAAGUUCCUUGGAACAGGACGUCACAGAGGGUGAGAAUCCCGUACGUGGUCGCCUGCCUUCGCCGUGUAAAGCCCCUUCGACGAGUCGAGUUGUUUGGGAAUGCAGCUCUAAAUGGGAGGUAAAUUUCUUCUAAAGCUAAAUACUGGCCAGAGACCGAUAGCGCACAAGUAGAGUGAUCGAAAGAUGAAAAGCACUUUGGAAAGAGAGUCAAACAGCACGUGAAAUUGUUGAAAGGGAAGCGCUUGCCGCCAGACUUGCCCGUGAAGGUUCUCCUCCUCGGGCAGGCCAGCAUCAGUUUGAGCGAUCGGAUAAUGGCCUCUGUCAUGUAUCUUCCUUCGGGAUGACCUUAUAGGGGAGUCGUAGUACGGUCAGCUUGGACUGAGGUCCGCGCAUUUGCUAGGAUGCUGGCGUAAUGGCUGCAAGCGGCCCGUCUUGAAACACGGACCAAGGAGUCUAACAUCUAUGCGAGUGUUUGGGUGUCAAGCCCGAGCGCGCAAUGAAAGUGAACGGAGGUGGGAACCCCUUUCGGGGUGCACCAUCGACCGAUCCUGAAGUCUUCGGAUGGAUUUGAGUAAGAGCAUGGCUGUUGGGACCCGAAAGAUGGUGAACUAUGCUUGAAUAGGGUGAAGCCAGAGGAAACUCUGGUGGAGGCUCGCAGCGGUUCUGACGUGCAAAUCGAUCGUCAAAUUUGGGCAUAGGGGCGAAAGACUAAUCGAACUAUCUAGUAGCUGGGUUCCUGCCGAAGUUCCCCUCAGGAUA
rnacentral:rRNA from 1 species